rnacentral:rRNA from 1 species
AGUGAACGCUGGCGGUAGGCCUAACACAUGCAAGUCGAACGAGUGGCGGACGGGUGAGUAACGUCUGGGAAACUGCCCGAUGGAGGGGGAUAACUACUGGAAACGGUAGCUAAUACCGCAUACCAUCGGCAGUGCCUAGGUGGGAUUAUCUGUUAGGUGAGGUAACGGCUCACCUAGGCGACGAUCCCUAGCCGGUCUGAGAGGGUGACCAGGCCGACUGGAACGGAGACACGGUCCAGACUCCUACGGGAGGCAGCAGUGGGGAAUAUGGCACAAUGGGCGCAAGCCUGAUGCAGCCAUGCCGCGUGUAUGAAGAAGGCCUUCGGGUUGUAAAGUACUUUCAGCGGGGAGGCGUUACCCGCAGAAGAAGCCCCGGCUAACUCCGUGCCAGCAGCCGCGGUAAUAC